rnacentral:tRNA from 1 species
GGGGAUAUAGCUCAGUGGCACAGUGCUUGUCUGGAAAGCACAAGGUCCUGAGUUCAAUUCCCAGUACCCCCC